rnacentral:rRNA from 1 species
UCCGGUUGAUCCUGGCAGAGGUUACUGCUAUCGAGGUUCGACUAAGCCAUGCGAGUCGAAUGUAGCAAUACAUGGCGUACUGCUCAGUAACACGUGGAUAACCUACCCUUGAGACGGGGAUAAACCCGGGAAACUGGGUAUAAUACCCGAUAGAUCUCGACUGCUGGAAUGCAUCGAGCUUGAAAGCUCCGGCGCUCAAGGAUGGGUCUGCGGCCUAUCAGGUAGUAGUGGGUGUAGCGUACCUACUAGCCUACGACGGGUACGGGUUGUGAGAGCAAGAGCCCGGAGAUGGAUUCUGAGACACGAAUCCAGGCCCUACGGGGUGCAGCAGGCGCGAAAACUUUACAAUGCUGGAAACAGCGAUAAGGGGACCUCGAGUGCCAGGUUACAAAUCUGGCUGUCGUGAUGCCUAAAAAGCAUUGCAUAGCAAGGGCCGGGCAAGACCGGUGCCAGCCGCCGCGGUAACACCGGCGGCUCGAGUGGUAACCGUUAUUAUUGGGUCUAAAGGGUCUGUAGCCGGCCGGAUAAGUCUCUUGGGAAAUCUGGCAGCUUAACUGUCAGGCUUUCAGGAGAUACUGUCUGGCUCGAGGCCGGGAGAGGUGAGAGGUACUUCAGGGGUAGGGGUGAAAUCUUGUAAUCCUUGAAGGACCACCAGUGGCGAAGGCGUCUCACCAGAACGGACCUGACGGCAAGGGACGAAAGCUAGGGGCACGAACCGGAUUAGAUACCCGGGUAGUCCUAGCCGUAAACGAUACUCGCUAGGUGUCGGCAACGGUGCGACCGUUGUCGGUGCCGUAGGGAAGCCGUGAAGCGAGCCACCUGGGAAGUACGGCCGCAAGGCUGAAACUUAAAGGAAUUGGCGGGGGAGCACCACAACAGGUGGAGCUUGCGGUUUAAUUGGAUUCAACGCCGGAAAUCUUACCGGGACCGACAGCAAUAUGAAGGCCAGGCUGAAGACUUUGCCGGAUUAGCUGAGAGGUGGUGCAUGGCCGUCGUCAGUUCGUACUGUGAAGCAUCCUGUUAAGUCAGGCAACGAGCGAGACCCA